rnacentral:rRNA from 1 species
UACGUAGGGUGCGAGCGUUAAUCGGAUUUACUGGGCGUAAAGCGUGCGCAGGCGGCCCGUUAAGACAGGUGUGAAAUCCCUGGGCUCAACCUAGGAAUUGCGCUUGUGACUGGCGGGCUUGAAUACGGUAGAGGGGGGUGGAAUUCCUGGUGUAGCAGUGAAAUGCGUAGAGAUCAGGUGGAACACCGAUGGCGAAGGCAGCCCCCUGGGCCUGUACUGACGCUCAUGCACGAAAGCGUGGGGAGCAAACAGG